AGUGGGGAAUCUUGCACAAUGGACGAAAGUCUGAUGCAGCAACGCCGCGUGGGGGAUGAAGCUUCUCGGAGUGUAAACCCCUUUCGACCCGGAAGAAUGCCCGCAAGGGCUUGACGGUACGGGUAUAAGAAGCCCCGGCUAACUACGCGCCAGCAGCCGCGGUAAUACGUAGGGGGCCAGCGUUGCUCGGAAUUACUGGGCGUAAAGGGUCCGUAGGCGGUGUGGCAAGUCGGGAGUGAAAUCUCUGGGCUUAACCCAGAGGCUGCUUCCAAAACUGCUGUGCUCGAGUGUGAGAGAGGCGCGUGGAAUUGCAG
rnacentral:rRNA from 1 species